rnacentral:rRNA from 1 species
ACGAACGCUGGCGGCGUGCUUAACACCUGCCAGUCGAACGGAAAGGCCCUGCUUUUGUGGGGUGCUCGAGUGGCGAACGGGUGAGUAACCCGUGAGUAACCUGCCCUUGACUUUGGGAUAACUUCAGGAAACUGGGGCUAAUACCGGAUAGGAGCUCCUGCUGCCUGGUUGGGGUUGGAAAGUUUCGGCGGUUGGGGAUGGACUCGCGGCUUAUCAGCUUGUUGGUGGGGUAGUGGCUUACCAAGGCUUUGACGGGUAGCCGGCCUGAGAGGGUGACCGGCCACAUUGGGACUGAGAUACGGCCCAGACUCCUACGGGAGGCAGCAGUGGGGAAUAUUGCACAAUGGGCGGAAGCCUGAUGCAGCAACGCCGCGUGCGGGAUGACGGCCUUCGGGUUGUAAACCGCUUUCGCCUGUGACGAAGCGUGAGUGACGGUAAUGGGUAAAGAAGCACCGGCUAACUACGUG